rnacentral:rRNA from 1 species
CCUACGGGUGGCUGCAGUGGGGAAUAUUGCACAAUGGACGAAAGUCUGAUGCAGCAACGCCGCGUGCGGGAUGACGGCCUUCGGGUUGUAAACCGCUUUCACCAGGGGCGAAUUUGACGGUACCUGGAGAAGAAGCACCGGCUAACUACGUGCCAGCAGCCGCGGUGAUACGUAGGGUGCGAGCGUUGUCCGGAUUUAUUGGGCGUAAAGAGCUCGUAGGUGGUUUGUUGCGUCGGGAGUGAAAACACACAGCUCAACUGUGUGCUUGCUUUCGAUACGGGCAGACUUGAGGGAUGUAGGGGAGAACGGAAUUCCUGGUGGAGCGGUGGAAUGCGCAGAUAUCAGGAGGAACACCGGUGGCGAAGGCGGUUCUCUGGACAUUUCCUGACGCUGAGGAGCGAAAGCGUGGGGAGCAAACAGGCUUAGAUACCCGUGUAGUC